rnacentral:rRNA from 1 species
GACGAACGCUGGCGGCGUGCUUAACACAUGCAAGUCGAACGGAAAGGCCCUGCUUUUGUGGGGUGCUCGAGUGGCGAACGGGUGAGUAACACGUGAGUAACCUGCCCUUGACUUUGGGAUAACUUCAGGAAACUGGGGCUAAUACCGGAUAGGAGCUCCUGCUGCAUGGGGGGGGUUGGAAAGUUUCGGCGGUUGGGGAUGGACUCGCGGCUUAUCCGCUUGUUGGUGGGGUAGUGGCUUACCAAGGCUUUGACGGGUAGGCGGCCUUGGAGGGUGACCGGCCACAUUGGGACUGCGAUACGGACCAGUCUCCUACGUGAGGCAGCAGUGGGGAAUAUUGCACAAUGGGCGGAAGCCUGAUGCAGCAACGCCGCGUGCGGGAUGCCGGCCUUCGGGUUGUAAACCGCUUUCGCCUGUGACGAAGCGUGAGUGACGGUAAUGGGUAAAGAAGCACCGGCUAACUACGUG